AGUGAACGCUGGCGGUAGGCCUAACACAUGCAAGUCGAACGGCAGCACAGUAAGAGCUUGCUCUUACGGGUGGCGAGUGGCGGACGGGUGAGGAAUACAUCGGAAUCUACUUUUUCGUGGGGGAUAACGUAGGGAAACUUACGCUAAUACCGCAUACGACCUACGGGUGAAAGCAGGGGAUCUUCGGACCUUGCGCGAUUGAAUGAGCCGAUGUCGGAUUAGCUAGUUGGCGGGGUAAAGGCCCACCAAGGCGACGAUCCGUAGCUGGUCUGAGAGGAUGAUCAGCCACACUGGAACUGAGACACGGUCCAGACUCCUACGGGAGGCAGCAGUGGGGAAUAUUGGACAAUGGGGGCAAGCCUGAUCCAACCAUACCGCGUGGGUGAAGAAGGCCUUCGGGUUGUAAAGCCCUUUUGUUGGGAAAGAAAAGCAGCAGGUUAAUACCCCGCUGUUCUGACGGUACCCAAAGAAUAAGCACCGGCUAACUUCGUG
rnacentral:rRNA from 1 species